rnacentral:rRNA from 1 species
UUGUGAGGUUAAGCGACUAAGCGUACACGGUGGAUGCCCUGGCAGUCAGAGGCGAUGAAGGACGUGCUAAUCUGCGAUAAGCGUCGGUAAGGUGAUAUGAACCGUUAUAACCGGCGAUUUCCGAAUGGGGAAACCCAGUGUGUUUCGACACACUAUCAUUAACUGAAUCCAUAGGUUAAUGAGGCGAACCGGGGGAACUGAAACAUCUAAGUACCCCGAGGAAAAGAAAUCAACCGAGAUUCCCCCAGUAGCGGCGAGCGAACGGGGAGGAGCCCAGAGCCUGAAUCAGUGUGUGUGUUAGUGGAAGCGUCUGGAAAGGCGCGCGAUACAGGGUGACAGCCCCGUACACAAAAAUGCACAUAUUGUGAGCUCGAUGAGUAGGGCGGGACACGUGGUAUCCUGUCUGAAUAUGGGGGGACCAUCCUCCAAGGCUAAAUACUCCUGACUGACCGAUAGUGAACCAGUACCGUGAGGGAAAGGCGAAAAGAACCCCGGCGAGGGGAGUGAAAAAGAACCUGAAACCGUGUACGUACAAGCAGUGGGAGCCUCUUUUAUGGGGUGACUGCGUACCUUUUGUAUAAUGGGUCAGCGACUUAUAUUCUGUAGCAAGGUUAACCGAAUAGGGGAGCCGAAGGGAAACCGAGUCUUAACUGGGCGUUAAGUUGCAGGGUAUAGACCCGAAACCCGGUGAUCUAGCCAUGGGCAGGUUGAAGGUUGGGUAACACUAACUGGAGGACCGAACCGACUAAUGUUGAAAAAUUAGCGGAUGACUUGUGGCUGGGGGUGAAAGGCCAAUCAAACCGGGAGAUAGCUGGUUCUCCCCGAAAGCUAUUUAGGUAGCGCCUCGUGAACUCAUCUCCGGGGGUAGAGCACUGUUUCGGCAAGGGGGUCAUCCCGACUUACCAACCCGAUGCAAACUGCGAAUACCGGAGAAUGUUAUCACGGGAGACACACGGCGGGUGCUAACGUCCGUCGUGAAGAGGGAAACAACCCAGACCGCCAGCUAAGGUCCCAAAGUCAUGGUUAAGUGGGAAACGAUGUGGGAAGGCCCAGACAGCCAGGAUGUUGGCUUAGAAGCAGCCAUCAUUUAAAGAAAGCGUAAUAGCUCACUGGUCGAGUCGGCCUGCGCGGAAGAUGUAACGGGGCUAAACCAUGCACCGAAGCUGCGGCAGCGACGCUUAUGCGUUGUUGGGUAGGGGAGCGUUCUGUAAGCCUGCGAAGGUGUACUGUGAGGUAUGCUGGAGGUAUCAGAAGUGCGAAUGCUGACAUAAGUAACGAUAAAGCGGGUGAAAAGCCCGCUCGCCGGAAGACCAAGGGUUCCUGUCCAACGUUAAUCGGGGCAGGGUGAGUCGACCCCUAAGGCGAGGCCGAAAGGCGUAGUCGAUGGGAAACAGGUUAAUAUUCCUGUACUUGGUGUUACUGCGAAGGGGGGACGGAGAAGGCUAUGUUGGCCGGGCGACGGUUGUCCCGGUUUAAGCGUGUAGGCUGGUUUUCCAGGCAAAUCCGGAAAAUCAAGGCUGAGGCGUGAUGACGAGGCACUACGGUGCUGAAGCAACAAAUGCCCUGCUUCCAGGAAAAGCCUCUAAGCAUCAGGUAACAUCAAAUCGUACCCCAAACCGACACAGGUGGUCAGGUAGAGAAUACCAAGGCGCUUGAGAGAACUCGGGUGAAGGAACUAGGCAAAAUGGUGCCGUAACUUCGGGAGAAGGCACGCUGAUAUGUAGGUGAAGUCCCUCGCGGAUGGAGCUGAAAUCAGUCGAAGAUACCAGCUGGCUGCAACUGUUUAUUAAAAACACAGCACUGUGCAAACACGAAAGUGGACGUAUACGGUGUGACGCCUGCCCGGUGCCGGAA